GGCAGAAUGAAGCUCCGUGGGAGGGGACACCAGUGGGGGUGACAGCCCCAUCAUGUGCUGCAUGGUGGCCGUUUCCUGAUGCGAUGCUUCCGCAGAGUCGGGUCGGUUGAGCAUCCAGCCCUUUGUUGGGAAGUGCCCCCCAUCCAUACUUUUAGCACGAGACCGAUGG
rnacentral:rRNA from 10 species